ensembl:lncRNA
ACACCUGUUCCUGUGCAUUGUGCCCCUCAUUCAAAAACCUGUUCCUGUACGUGUACCCCCAUUCAAAAACCUGUUCCUGUACGUGUGCCCCUCAUUCAGAAACCUGUUCCUGUACGUGUACCCCCAUUCAAAAACCUGUUCCUGUACGUGUACCCCCAUUCAAACACCUGUUCCUGUACGUGCGCCCCUCAUUCAAACACCUGUUCCUGCACGUGUACCCCCAUUCAAAAACCUGUUCCUGUACGUACCCCCAUUCAAACACCUGUUCCUGUAAAUGCCCCUCAUUCAAAAACCUGUUCCUGUACGUGUACCCCCAUUCAAAAACCUGUUCCUGUACGUGUACCCCCCAUUCAAAAACCUGUUCCUAUAUGUGCGCCCCUCAUUCAAAAACCUGUUCCUGUACGUGCGCCCCUCAUUCAGAAACCUGUUCCUGUACGUGUACCCCUCAUUCAAACACCUGUUCCUGUGCACCUGUUCGUGGCCCCUCAUUCAAAACCUGUUCCUAUGCUCUCAUUCAAACACCUGUUCCUGUACGUGUACCCCUCAUUCAAACACCUGUUCCUGUACGUGUACCCCCAUUCAAAAACCUGUUCCUGUACGUGCGUCCCUCAUUCAGAAACCUGUUCCUGUACGUGCGCCCCUCAUUCAGAAACCUGUUUCUAUAUGUGCGCCCCUCAUUCAGAAACCUGUUCCUAUUCGUGCGCCCCUCAUUCAAAAACCUGCUUCUAUAUGUGCGCCCCUCAUUCAAAAACCUGCUUCUAUAUGUGCGCCCCUCAUUCAAAAACCUGCUUCUAUAUGUGCGCCCCUCAUUUUAAAUCCUGUUCCUAUAUGUGCGCCCCUCAAAUUUGCUUCAAAUAAUGAGCGAGUGUGUUCCUCUCUACCCUUUCACCACAUCAGCACUGAAGUUAUGAAAUAUUUCAUUCGUGGACGAAGACAGUCAUUGUGAGGAAACCACAGAACUGCUAUGACUGGAACUGAAGACGUAGCUCAAACACCAGCGUCCCACAUUUUCUUAUGGCUAUUCAGGCCUGGCUUGACAAUCAAAGUUUGGUAUUUCAAAAGGUGGACAUUUAAUGUCCAUCUGGCAUCACUGAUUUUAACAUAAUGCUUUAAAAAUAUACUGCUAUGGUGACCCUGCUUUAAGAACUUCUUCAUUCUUCUUCAUUGACUUCUUAUGCUUCUUAUAGAUUGACUAUUUUUUUUUUUUUUUUGAAACAGAGUCUCGCUCUGUCGCCCAGGCUGGAGUGCAGUGGCACAAUCUGGGUUCACUGCAACCUCCACCUCCCAGGUUCACGCCAUUCUCCUGCCUCAGCCUCCCAAGUAGCUGGGAUGACAGGCACUCGCCACUACGCCCAGCUAGCUUUUUGUAUUUUUUUUUAGUAGAGAUGGGGUUUCACCAUGCUGGCCAGGCUGGUCUCAAACUCCUGACCUUGUGAUUUGCUGCCUCGGACUCCCAAAGUGCUGGGAUUACAAGCGUGAGCCACUACACCCGGCCUAGAUUGACUUUUUAUUUUGACUUUUUAUAGAUUUAUUUUUGUUAUUGUGGUAGGAUGGGAUAGAAAAAUACGUAACAUACUGGCUUAAAUUUCCACAAUGUGCCCUGCGAACAUGGCACAGUGAGUGGUGUUGAGCCUGCAGGCUGUGCCCGCCGAGGCCCUGGCAGCUGUAGGCAGGCGCCGUCUGGACGCUGCACACAGGACCCGCUCUGCUCUCCAUGUGUAAAUUCACGGAGAAACAUGAAUGGCUAAAGACAGAACAUGGUGUCGGAACAGGGGAUCAGCAGUUUUGCACAGGCAGCAUUGAGAGACGUGGUUUACUGUAGUCCGCCUGAAGCUGGGGCAACACUGAACACACAGGAUGAGUUUGGUGCUUUGGAAAGUGUGAAGGCUGCUGAUGGACUCUCUUAUCUUUUACCAGGAGAAGUAACUGAAAUUAAUGAAGCUCUUGCAGAAAAACCAGGACUUGUCAACAACUCGUGUUAUGAAGACGGUUGGCUGAUCAAGAUGGCACUGACUAACCCUUCAGAACUAGAUGAACUUAGGAGUGAAGAAGCGCAUGAGAAAUACGUACAAUCGAUUGAGGGGUGAAAACUAAAUAAACGAGUCUGAAAUAACACAACCCAGCAGGGCUGUCUUAAAUUAGUGGUGGAUGGAGGACUUAGAAUAGCAACUUUUAGCAUUACCGACGGGAAAAAAAAACUAUUCUUAACACUGCCAGUGAAGGAGAAUGCCUUCAACUUUCUUUUUUUUUUUUUUUUUUUUUGAGGCGGAGUUCUGUCUCCCAGGCUGGAGUGCAGUGGCCGGAUCUCAGCUCACUGCAAGCUCCGCCUUCCGG